AGUGAACGCUGGCGGUAGGCCUAACACAUGCAAGUCGAACGGCAGCACAGUAAGAGCUUGCUCUUACGGGUGGCGAGUGGCGGACGGGUGAGGAAUACAUCGGAAUCUACUUUUUCGUGGGGGAUAACGUAGGGAAACUUACGCUAAUACCGCAUACGACCUACGGGUGAAAGCAGGGGAUCUUCGGACCUUGCGCGAUUGAAUGAGCCGAUGUCGGAUUAGCUAGUUGGCGGGGUAAAGGCCCACCAAGGCGACGAUCCGUAGCUGGUCUGAGAGAAUGAUCAGCCACACUGGAACUGAGACACGGUCCAGACUCCUACGGGAGGCAGCAGUGGGGAAUAUUGGACAAUGGGCGCAAGCCUGAUCCAGCCAUACCGCGUGGGUGAAGAAGGCCUUCGGGUUGUAAAGCCCUUUUGUUGGGAAAGAAAAGCAGCAGGUUAAUACCCCGCUGUUCUGACGGUACCCAAAGAAUAAGCACCGGCUAACUUCGU
rnacentral:rRNA from 1 species